CUCAUCCAAAAAAAUUUGUUACCAUUCAGGAUGUUUGUCAUCAGGGACUCCUGAGAAAGCAACUUAUUCUUCAGGAAGCUCUCUUACUGCUGUGUGUCCAAUUCCAGCUCUCUUGCACUUUCUGAGACCUGGGAGAGGAAGGCAGUUUUUCAGACACUGAUUUGGUGGUGAAAUGCAAGGCAGCUGUCGGAAGGCUGCCUUCUACCAUCUCAGUUCUAUUGGACAGUCAACAUGGACCUUUUAACUGAUAUCAUUGUUGCUAACUCUUUGGGAAGGGCAAAAUCUCCAGAGAGCCUCAAAGUAAUGUGGGCUGCCAAUAUGGGACCCAGACUUAUACCAGUGCAAACCAAGAACAGGGCAAUGGAAGGAACCUCAUUGGGUUGCAGGAAGAAAGUAGAUGUCCAUAUGUCACCAAGGUUAAAACCAAUGACAAGUUCUAAUUUGACAUUUGCACUUUGUUCUUAUCCCGCAAAGGUGCUUCCUACACAAGAAGUCACAUGACCACAGAGUGUCAUUUGUCAAAGAACCAAGAACUUGUUCAAAACUCUACAGAGCAUCCAAUCUAUCACGUGGAUAUGCAAUAAUGAGAGCCUUCUGAAGAUGCCUAGACAAUCCUGGGAUGAAUAACAGUCUUUUAUGGAACUGAAAACUGAGUCCUAAUGACCCUGGCACACUGAUGUGUAAACAGCACAAGAGAUAGAACCAGAGCUGAAGACCAUGCAAUCCAGAACAAAGAAAGUCAGAAAUGGCCAUUCCAGAAGUGAUAUCCUUUCUGACCAGGACUUACCUAGAGAAGAUGCUCCAGUUGCUGUGGCCCAUUGCUAGAAAGGUCAGCAUAAGCCUGCAGCCCCCCCUGGCAGGAAGCUCAAAAUACACUGCCCAGAACUUACUCAACAUUCCCCAGAAGUGCUGUCUUUGUCCAUCAUUACUUUGAGACGAAAGGCCAGACUUCUUCACUCUAGUCUCUCCACAAUCGACGUUCACCCUCCCAAAACGCUUGCGAAGACGGGAAAACAUGUCUUAGCUUGUAACCGCCAGACUCAGACUGAGAGAAACUAGGGCACUGGUUGUCACUACAACACUGGUGACAUCACAGAGGAUGCCAGAACUCUCUAGGAGACAAUAGAAUGUCCAAGAAGGGACAGCUGAUGUCAUGGGGCGCAGACUUUGCCUCCUGCUAAUGUUCUCCCUGUACUGAGCAUAAGCAGAGGUGCCCUUUCCAGGAGACUUUCCUGGGGCAGAGCCACUGAGCAUCUCCUGCUUCCAAAGCCAAAUUUUCCUCAAGGCUUGAUUAUAAAAACCUUAGUAAUUCUUAUGUAUCUAAAUGAAUGAUUCCUUCCAUAUCUUGCCCCAAAAUGUCUCAUCCUAACUCAAAUUGUCCACAUUCACCAAUGUUAGCCAUUAAAACUUCCUGAGAUUUCAUACCAGCUU